GGGAAAGAGACGCGGAGCAGACACUCGUCGAGCACAAACACAUCUACUGAUCCCAUCCAGCAAUCGUUCCGGAAACGGCGCUUAAUGGAAGAGCCGAAUGGAGCUGCUCCGGUGUUUUUCCAGAGGAAGCUCCCGGGAGUCGUCCGCUCUCGUUCAGACAGUCGAUUGGUUCGGGCUGAGCGGUCUGUCGUCUCUCGUUCCGGGGCUCUGCUGUCUCAGCUGAUCAUCUGUUUAAGUGACAGCACGCACCGAGCUAACCAGAGCUCCGACCAAUAACCCUGGAGGAAAGAGGAGGUCAUGGGGGCCGGAGCUCGUCUUAAAGCAUCGCCUCGUUAAUAAUCAUUAUUCUGUCGCUGAGAUGUCUAUAUACGGCCAGGCUGCACGAGCACCGGGCGAGAAACAGACAGACUCCAGCUCCGCCGGCACACGUGGAGGAAGACGAGAAAGGGCCGUGAAAGAGAGGAAGAUGCGCUCUAAACACCGCGUCCACAAAGUGCAACGACCGACAGGAGAGAGCGGAGGAGCCCCAGACGAGCGCCGGAUCGUCCCGCACAAGUGAGAGCGACUGCCCAUCAUUUCCAGAAGUUCAAAAAAAAGUCAGAUGCUGCGUUUAAGAAAAUCGCCUCGCGCGAGAGUUUCAGGCGAUCUGGUCUCUCUCUAAACCCAAGUCAUGAGUAAGGUCUCCGUGUUCUGCAGGACACCGAUCGCGGACGGCUGCACGCGUUUAAGAUGAUUUAAGAUCAGCGGCUAUGGAGCUCAG